UAUUGUUAUUCCUCCUAUGGAGUUG
rnacentral:misc_RNA from 1 species